rnacentral:lncRNA from 1 species
GAGCUUGUCAGGCCAUUGAAAUUGCCAUAGUGGGUGAGAUAAUUCAGCCCUUGAUUGCCCUUGCCAGAUCAGGGGAGACUGUUACGUUAGAUUAUUAUCUGUUCGAGAUGGAUAGCUGCCGCACAUGAUGAAGGGAUAAGUCGGCUGAGACAGCUCAUGUACAGAUGGGACUUUGCGGACGCCUCAGCUCAGCAGGGAGACUGACCCCUCAGCUCAUACGACAAUCAACGGUCGUGUUGACGACCCGAGAGCCUGAAAUACCUUGCGAUGCAGUGUCGAUCCGAGAUCCUCAUGGUACCCCCCGUAAUACUAGCCUUAGUGGGCAAGAUAAUUCAGCCAUCGAUCACUCCCGUAAAGUGAGGAGAUCGUUGCUGGUAGCAUACUGAGCGGAGAAUUUGAAUACCCCUUUUGAAUAACCUCGAAGUCCAUGUCUGGUUUUUUGGUCUUGUUGAAUGAGUGGUGUUACCUCAUGGCAGAUGAGGGUCCCACCUAUUAGUUGGAUAGGUUAUCAAUCAUGAGAGAUUUUAGUCUUUAUGUGCCCUUCACAUGAGGAUAUUUAUUACUUUUGGCCUCAGCUUAGGACAAUAUAAAUGCUCAAGAUAUCUCG